CCGCCGUGAUGACCAACUUAGGACACCUUUGGAUUCAUGAUGAAACCAACCAAUCAGUCUGAGCGGC